UGAGGAAUAUUGGACAAUGGGCGCAAGCCUGAUCCAGCCAUGCCGCGUGCAGGAUGAAGCAUCUAUGGUGUGUAAACUGCUUUUGUACAGGAAGAAACCCUGCCACGUGUGGCAGAUUGACGGUACUGUAAGAAUAAGGAUCGGCUAACUCCGUGCCAGCAGCCGCGGUAAUACGGAGGAUCCAAGCGUUAUCCGGAAUCAUUGGGUUUAAAGGGUCCGUAGGCGGGCUAAUAAGUCAGUGGUGAAAUCUUCCAGCUCAACUGGGAAAUGGCCAUUGAUACUGUUAGUCUUGAAUUAUUAGGAAGUAACUAGAAUAUGUAGUGUAGCGGUGAAAUGCUUAGAGAUUACAUGGAAUACCAACUGCGAAGGCAGGUUACUACUAAUGGAUUGACGCUGAUGGACGAAAGCGUGGGUAGCGAACA
rnacentral:rRNA from 1 species